UUAGUGUAAAGCACAUUAAGGUUUGUUCUUAAAAGUUUGAAUUA
rnacentral:tRNA from 1 species